AGAGUUUGAUCCUGGCUCAGGAUGAACGCUGGCGGCGUGCCUAAUACAUGCAAGUCGAACGCACUGAUUUAUCAGUGAGUGGCGAACGGGUGAGUAAUACAUAAGUAACCUGGCCUUUCGAGGGGGAUAACUAUUAGAAAUGAUAGCUAAGACCGCAUAGGUGAUAUCACUGCAUAGAGAUAUCAUUAAAUAUCCUACGGGAUAGCGAGAGGAUGGACUUAUGGCGCAUUAGCUAGUUGGUGAGGUAGAGGCUCACCAAGGCGACGAUGCGUAGCCGACCUGAGAGGGUGGACGGCCACACUGGGACUGAGACACGGCCCAGACUCCUACGGGAGGCAGCAGUAGGGAAUUUUCGGCAAUGGGGGAAACCCUGACCGAGCAACGCCGCGUGAAGGAAGAAGUAUUUCGGUAUGUAAACUUCUGUUAUAAAGGAAGAACGGCAUAUGUAGGGAAUGACAUAUGAGUGACGGUACUUUAUGAGAAAGCCACGGCUAACUACGUGCCAGCAGCCGCGGUAAUACGUAGGUGGCAAGCGUUAUCCGGAAUCAUUGGGCGUAAAGAGGGAGCAGGCGGCAAUAGAGGUCUGUGGUGAAAGCCUGAAG
rnacentral:rRNA from 1 species